AUUUGAAUAGAUUAAGAUGGGAAAAAGGGGUUUGGCCGGUUCUUAUCUUUGUUCGUUGUUGAUCGGCUUUAUACCGAUUGUCGGUUAUUGUUUCUUUACCUGGUGGAGUCUAGUUCCUUCCGGUUUCUUCUAUAAUUUUUGUACUUUGUUUUGCUUUUGCCAAAUAAUCUCAUCGGAUCUAUGGUUAGUGAUGACGCUUUGUCAUACCCGUUACGGUGGUUCUUCUCAGCCUAAGUCCUUUGAGUUUCUUUUUCUUAGAUCUGUGUCGGUUCUUGUCUCUUGAAGAUGGGUUUUGCCAGAUCGGUUUCUUAUCAACUCGGUUUGCAGAAUCGUUUCAAAAAGAUUUCGAUAUUUUGUUGAAGAGACUUUCUCACUGGAAUCGGCGCUCAACGGCUAAGGUUGUUGCCGAAAAUCUUUUGAUUACUCAUCCGUGAUAGAUAUCACUUAAAGACAAAUCUCGGCGAGAACGACAGUUGCAAUUAUCUCAUGGAGACCCGAUAACAAUUUGAUCGCAUAGAUCUCCUCAUCGAUCUCCAAUCUCGCCUUCUCCAGUACUACUGGAUUGCUCGGUAAAUCUCGCCAUCGCCCACUCAAGUGUUACCAUAGAGAUUUCAGUCCCAGCUAGCAUUUUCUCCUUCACAACAAAUCGGGCAAAAAUUGAAUCAUAAUAGAAUAUCUUCCAUACAUAAUAGAAGUGUGGUUAAAUAUAUAAUUGUUUCUGUUUAGAUAUUGAUUAUGCUGUAUUUCUUUAGUUUAGUUGGAAUGGUAUGUAAAAUAUUUAGGAAACAAAAUUUAAAAUAAUAUUAUUUUUGGAAAUUUUGUAGGAA